UACGGGAAGGGCAAGCGUUAUCCGGCGUGACUGGGCGUAAAGCGUGCGCAGGCGGUGAUGUAAGUCAGGUGUGAAAUCCCCGGGCUUAACCUGGGAACUGCAUUUGUGACUGCAUCGCUGGAGUGCGGCAGAGGGGGAUGGAAUUCCGCGUGUAGCAGUGAAAUGCGUAGAUAUGCGGAGGAACACCGAUGGCGAAGGCGAUCCCCUGGGCCUGCACUGACGCUCAUGCACGAAAGCGUGGGGAGCAAACAGG
rnacentral:rRNA from 1 species